AGCCACUAGGGGUGCGAAAGCUGAGAUGACGAAAGUCGACCCUUUGAACCUGAACAAGGUAAUUCUUGCGUAAGGGAAGUGCAAUUAC
rnacentral:ncRNA from 1 species